rnacentral:tRNA from 1 species
GGGGGAGUAGCUCAACGGCAGAGCGCGGGACUCCAGAUCCCGGCUUGUGCGGGGUUCAAGUCCUGCCUCCCCCGCCA